rnacentral:rRNA from 1 species
UGGUGGAGUGAUUUGUCUGGUUAAUUCCGAUAACGAACGUGACUCUGGCCUAUUAAAUAGUUCGCCGAUUCCGAUCUGUCGGCGUUAACUUCUUAGAGGGACAAGUGGCUUUUAGCCACGCGAGAUUGAGCAAUAACA